CCCCCUUCCGGGUUUACCUGGCUGCAGGUUCGGCAGACGCUCGGCACUCUCUGCAGGGUUGUGCAAAUUGUUCCACCGUGCAGGCGCUGGCAGGUCGGACUGCGUGUUUGCUCGUUUUGUCCCGGAGCUAUGCCACGCUGAGGUCCCGACUGCCCUGACCCGUUUUGGACUGCUGCUGCUUUGUGUGGGGAUAAAACCCACACUUUUUACGGACCUUGCCUGCUGCUUUGUGUGGGGAUAAAACCCACACUUUUUACGGACCUUGCCUGCUGCUGCGUUCGGGUGCUGAGGGCCUCACUGGUGAUCCUGUUUGGUGAUGGUGUCCCUUCUUAAAAACAUAGAUUAUUGGGGUAGUUCCUACCCCACCUCACGCUUGCCACAUUAGCAACAAU
ensembl:lncRNA